rnacentral:lncRNA from 1 species
ACUGGAAAUUCUGUCAUUUAAUACAUGUUGCCUUUUCUUUUGCCAAAUAGAUGACCUAUUACAGACUAUUCAGAGUACAUCGGGAUUAGCUGUUAUUCUUUUUAUUAAGACAAUGUUUCAUCUAUCUGAAAAGACUCCUGAAUUGAUUAGCAGUUUGCUUCUCCAUUCAGUAGACUGUACCAGCAUCCCUGAGU